GCGGCCAGCUCUAUGAAGAGUCCUGGUGGUUUACAAGUUCUUCCAUUUAAUAAUGACGAAGGCCACUGUGCUCUUCGGGACCUGCAAUGCUGCAGAAAUUGUUUUAUAUCCUUCCCCAGAUCUGUGUCUCGACACAAUCCUGUCUUGGAG